ensembl:lncRNA
GUGAUAACGCUGAAGCAGAGAUGGUAAAGCAUAAUAAGCGUGCAACAACAGAAAAAAGAAUAUGGAGUAUCCAAAAGGAAAGAAGAGCUGAAUGGGGGUAUUAUUGAAGACACUAAUAGCAAUCAGAGUAAUGUUUUCAGAUAGAAGAGUCUGAAAACCACAAAUGCACUUGAACUUGAGAGAUGAAGUCCUGCAUGUGGAGAGUCUUAGAAGAGGGCUGCAUGGUGGACAAACUCCUAAAGAAUGGAGGAACUCAGCACCAAGAAUAUCAUGAGUUCUAAAUAAAAAUCAGGCCAACACAGUAACAGAACAAAAAAAA